rnacentral:lncRNA from 1 species
AAUAUGCUCUGCUUAGCUCUUUAGAAGCAACCUCAUCACCAUUGCUAAUUGUAUCCUAUCAUUCUGUCACUGCAAAUCUGAGGAAACUUUGGUGGCUGUUGUCCUUACAUGUCCAUUUGAAAUUUGCUCCAGGGAAACCGAAGAUGUUUUGUUUCCUCUUGUGUCUCUUAUGCUAUCAUUGAAAUAGCUGCUAGAUGUGAAGACAUAUAUAUAUCCUUUUAGUCCUAUGAGACUUUCCACUUUCCAAUGAAGAGAAAACCUUUCCCAUCAAAAGAGAGAAUGGGCCAGGCAUGGUGGUGGCCCCUGUAGUCCCAGCUACUCAUGAGGCUGAGGCAGGAAAAUCGCGGGAGUCCAGGAGGUCUGGGCUGUAGUGCGUUAUGCAGAUCAAGUGUCCACAUUGAGUCAAGCAUCAAACAUGGUGACUUCCUGGGAGCAGGGCACCAGCAUGUUGCCUAAGGAGGGGUGAACCAGUUAAGCUGAGGAAACACAGGCCCAGAUGGAAAGUGGCUUGCCCAAUCCCACACAGCAAGGCAGAGAUGGAUCCAUCCAGCUCUCUCCUCCCAGCCAGGGCUUAGCGACAACACAGCUACAGGGGCAUGAGAGGCUCAGAGGCCUGGUCCUCUGGCUGGUGGAGCCUUGGAGGCAGUAGUGAAGAUCCCUGGAAGAGGGAGGCCAUGAAGAGGGAUGCAGAUACCUGGCAAGCCCACCUCCCUUCUAUGCCACCUGCCAGCCUUCUCUGACAUUCCCAAACCAGGGACCAACACCGCCAAUCAGGGAAGAUUUACACGCAUUUAAUUAUCCUGCACUGCUCAGAUGUCAGUCUCUAAAUUCCUAACACAAAUGAACAGAAGACAAAAUCAUUUGCAGGAUUCUGAAAUGAAGUUUUUCAGCGGAACACAGAGAAACAGUUAAAUUUUGCAAAGCUGUGAAACUGGAGAGGGGGCUGUCCUCCAAAUCUACCAACCAGAGACCUGGAAGGAAUUACUUGCAUGAGAUUCAUUUCUCUCUGUCUUUCUCUUUCUCCCCUCUCCCCACCUAUCUGCACCAAACUCACCUGCCAAUUUCAUCAGCGAUACUUGAAUGGAUUUUCUAACCUGUUCCACUCCAAAUUGAUCAGUUAAUUAAGUUGAUCUCUACAAGACUGUUAAAGAACCAGGUCUUUUUCCUUUCAUGUUAUGCAGUUCCAAGUAAACUCCCUUUACUCUGGUAUCCUUAUCAGAGGCAGACAUCACAGGAAGUGGAGCAUUCCUUAUGAAUAUCUUAAUCUACACACAAAUAGAUUUUUUUCAAUGUGAAUUUGGAUUUCUAAAAGCACGCUUACUGCAAGUACAUUUUGCAGCCUCUUGUUUCCAGAUCAGAAUUGAGUGAUUUUCUAUUAUUUAUUUAUUUAUUAUUUGUCACUUUAAAAUAUGCAAUUCUUGGGAUCAUGCAGAAUUGCUGUAUAUUUGCUUUGAAGAUUAGAAUAAAAC